rnacentral:rRNA from 1 species
UACGAAGGGGGCGAGCGUUGUUCGGAGUUAUUGGGCGUAAAGAGCUCGUAGGCGGUUUGUUGCGUCGGCUGUGAAAUCCCGAGGCUCAACCUCGGGUCUGCAGUCGAUACGAGCAAACUAGAGUGUUGCAGGGGAGACUGGAAUUCCUGGUGUAGCGGUGAAAUGCGUAGAUAUCAGGAGGAACACCUGUGGUGUAGACAGCUUACUGGACCAUAACUGACGCUGAGGCACGAAAGCGUGGGUAGCAAACAGG